GAUGAAGAACGUAGCGAAAUGCGAUAAGUAAUGUGAAUUGCAGAAUUCAGUGAAUCAUCGAAUCUUUGAACGCACAUUGCGCCCGCCAGUAUUCUGGCGGGCAUGCCUGUUCGAGCGUCAUUUCAACCAUCAAGCCCCCGGCUUGUGUUGGGGACCUGCGGCUGCCGCGGGCCCUGAAAACCAGUGGCGGGCUCGCUAGUCACUCCGAGCGUAGUAAUACAUCUCGCUCAGGGCGUGCUGCGGGUUCCGGCCGUUAAAAAGCCUUAUUUACCCAAGGUUGACCUCGGAUCAGGUAGGAAGACCCGCUGAACUUAAGCAUAUCAAUAAGCGGAGGA
rnacentral:misc_RNA from 1 species